rnacentral:vault_RNA from 1 species
GUGUCGGGUUAGCUCAGUGGUUACUUCCUGAUAAAGACCGUAAAUCUUGACUUCUCCGUCUUGGCGGGGUUCGAACCUCGGGCGCUGUCCGACGCUUUU